CUUGAAGUCCUAGAUGUUUGGAAUUCUAGACCCACUGCCUUUACUUGCACAUUGAUUAUUCUGUCCGAGACAGCUUUCACUGGAUUUGUAUCGCUUUCUGCCAUGGGAAAGAUAAGACUCUUCCUCAAGAAGAAUUCACUCUUCUGCUGUUCCAGGCCUCCUACCACACUGAAACCAGUUUAGAUGAUGAAUGGCCUAGU